GAUGAACGCUGGCGGCGUGCCUAAUACAUGCAAGUCGAGCGAACAGACGAGGAGCUUGCUCCUCUGACGUUAGCGGCGGACGGGUGAGUAACACGUGGAUAACCUACCUAUAAGACUGGGAUAACUUCGGGAAACCGGAGCUAAUACCGGAUAAUAUAUUGAACCGCAUGGUUCAAUAGUGAAAGACGGUUUUGCUGUCACUUAUAGAUGGAUCCGCGCCGCAUUAGCUAGUUGGUAAGGUAACGGCUUACCAAGGCAACGAUGCGUAGCCGACCUGAGAGGGUGAUCGGCCCCACUGGAACUGAGACACGGUCCAGACUCCUACGGGAGGCAGCAGUAGGGAAUCUUCCGCAAUGGGCGAAAGCCUGACGGAGCAACGCCGCGUGAGUGAUGAAGGUCUUCGGAUCGUAAAACUCUGUUAUUAGGGAAGAACAAAUGUGUAAGUAACUAUGCACGUCUUGACGGAACCUAAUCAGAAAGCCACGGCUAACUACGUG
rnacentral:rRNA from 1 species